rnacentral:rRNA from 1 species
GCCGGAAUCGCUAGUAAUCGCGGAUCAGAAUGCCGCGGUGAAUACGUUCCCGGGUCUUGUACACACCGCCCGUCACACCAUGGGAGUCGGGAAUGCCCGAAGUCAGUGACCCAACCCAAGGGGAGGGAGCUGCCGAAGGCAGGCCUGGUGACUGGGGUGAAGUCGUAACAAGGUAUC